rnacentral:misc_RNA from 1 species
GUCGUAACAAGGUUUCCGUAGGUGAACCUGCGGAAGGAUCAUUACCACACCGAUCCACGAUCUUUUUUCACGCGAAGAGGGGGGGUCCGACGUGCGCCCGUGGGUGUGCGUUGUUUGCGGGUGCUUCGGCGCUUACGAAGCGUGUUGGUUGACGACGUAGUGCUUUUGUGCUACGACGUGCCUUCACGUGUCUCCUCCGGCCUUACCAACUAAAAUAUAUACCUUUUUUGGUACAGCCACCAGCACGAACUCAUCAACUGAAACUAAACUUGGCGGUCACACUCAACGUAAUCGCUGGGUCCACAAACAAAUGAAAUACAACUUUCAGCAACGGAUGUCUAGGUUCCCA